GUGUCAGCAGCCGCGGUAAUACGUAGGGGGCAAGCGUUGUCCGGAUUUAUUGGGCGUAAAGAGCGUGUAGGCGGCCAUACAGGUCUGCUGUGAAAACUCGAGGCUCAACCUCGAGCUGUCGGUGGAAACCGUAUGGCUAGAGUCCGGAAGAGGAGAGUGGAAUUCCCGGUGUAGCGGUGAAAUGCGCAGAUAUCGGGAAGAACACCCGUGGCUAAGGCGGCUCUCUAGUACGGUACUGACGCUGAGACGCGAAAGCGUGGGGAGCGAACAGGAUUAGAUACCCUUGUAGUCC
rnacentral:rRNA from 1 species